UACGGAGGAUCCAAGCGUUAUCCGGAUUCAUUGGGUUUAAAGGGUGCGUAGGCGGACUGAUAAGUCAGCGGUGAAAUCUCUCGGCUUAACCGAGAAACUGCCGUUGAUACUGUCAGUCUUGAGUACAGAUGAUGUGGGCGGAAUAUGACAUGUAGUGGUGAAAUACUUAGAUAUGUCAUAGAACACCGAUUGCGAAGGCAGCUCACAAAACUGUCACUGACGCUGAGGCACGAAAGCGUGGGAUCAAACAGG
rnacentral:rRNA from 1 species